AGUGGAUGGGGAGCAACCUAGUUGUGCGUGUGUAAAGGUAGUGCCAAGAAAAGCGAUGAUCAUGUUGAAAAUCAAUUCCCGGUACCCGAAACCGACACAGGUGGGCAAGUAGAGAAUACUAAGGGGCGCGAGGUAACUCUCUCCAAGGAACUUGGCAAAAUGACCCCGUAACUUAGGGAGAAGGGGUGCCACCGAGAGGUGGUCGCAGUGAAGAGGCCCAGGCGACUGUUUAGCAAAAACAUAGGUCUCUGCAAACUCGAAAGAGGAGGUAUAGGGGCUGACGCCUGCCCAGUGCCGGAAGGUUAAAGAAGUUGGUCAGUUUUAGGAUGAAGCUAGCGACUGAAGCCCCGGUGAACGGCGACCGUAACUAUAACGGUCCUAAGGUAGCGAAAUUCCUUGUCGGGUAAGUUCCGACCCGCACGAAAGGCGUAACGAUCUGGGCGCUGUCUCGGAGAGAGGCUCGGCGAAAUAGGAUUGUCUGUGAAGAUACGGACUACCUGCAUUUGGACAGAAAGACCCUAUGAAGCUUUACUAUAGCUUGGAAUUGUGUUCGGGCUUCCUGUGCGCAGGAUAGGUGGGAGGCGUAGAAGGUAUUCUUGUGGGGAUACUGGAGCCAACGGUGAGAUACCACUCUCAGGAGGCUAGAAUUCUAACUUAAUUAAGGACAGUUUCAGGUGGGUAGUUUGACUGGGGCGGUCGCCUCCAAAAAGGUAACGGAGGCGUACAAAGGUUCCCUCAGACUGGUUGGAAAUCAGUCGAAGAGUGCAAAGGCAGAAGGGAGCUUGACUGCGAGAAGUACAGUUCGAGCAGGGUGGAAACACGGUCUUGGUGAUCCGACGGUGCUGUGUGGAAGGGCCGUCGUUCAACGGAUAAAAGUUACUCUAGGAUAACAGGCUGAUCUCCCCCAAGAGUUCACAUCGACGGGGAGGUUUGGCACCUCGAUGUCGGCUCAUCGCAACCUGGGGCGGAAGUACGUCCCAAGGGUUGGGCUGUUCGCCCAUUAAAGCGGUACGUGAGCUGGGUUCAGAACGUCGUGAGACAGUUCGGUCCAUAUCCGAUGUAGGCGUGAGAAUAUUGAGAGGAGCCUUCCUUAGUACGAGAGGACCGGGAAGGACGCACCGCUGGUGUACCUGUUAUGAUGCCAAUUGUAAACGCAGGGUAGCCAAGUGCGGAGAGGAUAACCGCUGAAAGCAUCUAAGUGGGAAGCCCACCUCAAGAUGAGUAUUCUGGUGUAAGGUCACGGGAAGACGACCCGUAAAUAGGCACGAGGUGGAAGUGCAGAGAUGUAUGAAGCCGAAGUGUACUAAUAGACCGUCGGCUUGAC
rnacentral:rRNA from 1 species